rnacentral:rRNA from 1 species
GGAAACUUGAGCUAAUACCGGAUGUGCCCUUCGAGGGAAAGAUUUAUCGCCAUUGGAGCGGCCCGCGUCUGAUUAGCUAGUUGGUGGGGUAAAGGCCCACCAAGGCGACGAUCAGUAGCUGGUCUGAGAGGAUGAUCAGCCACAUUGGGACUGAGACACGGCCCAAACUCCUACGGGAGGCAGCAGUGGGGAAUCUUGCGCAAUGGGCGAAAGCCUGACGCAGCCAUGCCGCGUGAAUGAUGAAGGUCUUAGGAUUGUAAAAUUCUUUCACCGGGGACGAUAAUGACGGUACCCGGAGAAGAAGCCCCGGCUAACUUCGUGCCAGCAGCCGCGGUAAUACGAAGGGGGCUAGCGUUGCUCGGAAUUACUGGGCGUAAAGGGAGCGUAGGCGGACUGUUAAGUUAGAGGUGAAAGCCCAGGGCUCAACCUUGGAAUUGCCUUUGAUACUGGCAGUCUUGAGUACGGAAGAGGUAUGUGGAACUCCGAGUGUAGAGGUGAAAUUCGUAGAUAUUCGGAAGAACACCAGUGGCGAAGGCGACAUACUGGUCCGUUACUGACGCUGAGGCUCGAAAGCGUGGGGAGCAAACAGGAUUAGAUACCCUGGUAGUCCACGCCGUAAACGAUGAGUGCUAGUUGUCGGCAUGCAUGCAUGUCGGUGACGCAGCUAACGCAUUAAGCACUCCGCCUGGGGAGUACGGUCGCAAGAUUAAAACUCAAAGGAAUUGACGGGGGCCCGCACAAGCG